AACGAACGCUGGCGGCAGGCUUAACACAUGCAAGUCGAACGGGCGUAGCAAUACGUCAGUGGCAGACGGGUGAGUAACACGUGGGAACCUUCCUCGUAGUACGGGACAACUCAGGGAAACUUGAGCUAAUACCGUAUACGUCCGAGAGGAGAAAGAUUCAUCGCUAUGAGACGGGCCCGCGUCCGAUUAGGUAGUUGGUGGGGUAACGGCCUACCAAGCCGACGAUCGGUAGCUGAUCUGAGAGGAUGAUCAGCCACACUGGGACUGAGACACGGCCCAGACUCCUACGGGAGGCAGCAGUGGGGAAUCUUGGACAAUGGGCGCAAGCCUGAUCCAGCCAUGCCGCGUGAGUGAAGAAGGCCUUAAGGUUGUAAAGCUCUUUUGCCAGGGACGAUAAUGACGGUACCUGGAGAAUAAGCCCCGGCAAACUUCGUGCCAGCAGCCGCAGUAAAAC
rnacentral:rRNA from 1 species